rnacentral:lncRNA from 1 species
AUUCCUCUUCAACCCCAGCAUCCCCCUGGGUUCCUGUGCAGGCCUCGGCUUCCAGGAACCCUGCCUUGGAGUGUGUGGUUGGCUCUGUGACCAGCAAGCAGGAGGCCACGGCCGUCCCACCCUCAGGGCUCUCACAUGUAGAGACGGGGUUUCACCAUGUUAUCCAGGAUGGUCUUGAUCUCCUGACCUUGUGAUCCGCCCGCCUCGGCCUCCCAAGCUGGGAUUACAGGUGUGAGCCACCGCGCCCGGCCGAGAAGUCAAGUCUUUCAGGACAUACCUAAAGAAGAUAGCAUCCGUGGUGCAUGGAGCAUGUGCCUCACCAGGCAUCACCAUACCCACCACAGCUCGUGCGUGUGGAUGCCUUUGCUACCCAGGACAGCCAUACAAGGAAGCCACUGGGGUCAGUCCCAUGCACAAACGGCAUGUCAAGAAAUUAAAUGAUUUCCUCAGGGCCCCGCAAUUACCUUCAGCAAAGCUGAGAUUCCCAGCCUUCUCUCUGCUCCCUGAGACUGACUCUGAAUUGCUUUUCUGCUAGAGAUGAAAACAAGAACAGAAACAGUGGAAACUAAUCACAUUUUUAAAAGUUUUACAUAACCACUUAAUUAUAAUAUGCCUGCCCCAAAAGCACUCCUAACGUCCUAACACAUGUACUUGUGAUUUUUCUUUAAACCUCAAAUAUUAUCGUCAUGGAAGAAAUACUCACAGUCCAUCAAGCUUGCCUGUCAGGAGCAUUUCCACCCUACAGACCAGCCAGGGAGGCAGAGUGCAGCCCGGGUCUGUGGGUCACCAGGCCUCAAAUGCCAUCCCAGCGCCAGUGAAAGUUUGCUGUGUUCCUUUACACUGUCCCCUGUGGGCCUGGCUUCCCUGUGAGAAGGUUAAAGAGCCCCAAACAAAACACGCAUUGAAACCUGCCUCCACAGCCCUCUCGGGCCUGCACAGGGCUGACAGGCACCCCUGGAGCCUGUCCACCUCUGGAAGGGCAGUUGCAUGGCUCUGAGCACCGACGGAAACCCCUCGACCUGGAGAGGCUGCCUGCGUGGGGCCGACGUUGCACAGGCUGACCUUGUAGGGCGGUGGGUGGGGGAUGCGGGGCAGGGGGCACAGCCCGGGCGCUCUUCCAGUGCUGGUUUGUCUAUUUCAUGUUGUCCACCCUGUCAUCCACCAGUUGUUCUUUGGGUGCAUUGGUAAUAAUAUCUCCCGCAUGGAUGGGCUCUUCCCAGAGCCUCGUGGGUGCUGAAUGAAGCCCAAGGAAUGGCCUUCACCAGACACUUCGUUUUGUUUUUUCUGCUUAUAAAAGGCAGUGCCCAGAUAGUUUCAUUUUCACAGGGACAUCUGUAAGCACACACUUUGAUUUACACUGGAAAGAGCCAAUGGUUCUCAUUUACAGAGGGUCAAGCUCCAGGAGGGAGGCAAGGGGACGCUUUGGAAAAUAAAGUUCUUCCUUUUACUCCUGUGGGCCUGAUGUGCUCUGUGAAGUUCGAACACAGUAUCGACCAUCUCAACUCUCAGGACAGCAUGUGACACCUCCAUCACUGGGAGCAAACUCUGUGCAGGAGCACCUGAUUCUGCCAGGGCAGGAAAUUCGCUCUCAGAAGCAUGUUCCACUCAAGCGGGCUUGGCCUGCGCUGUGAGUCAAUGUGAAGAGGGUGUGUUGGCUUCGGCUGGUUGACCUUCAGAAGUCGGAGAAGGCCAAAGUCCCACUGAAUAAACUGCAGAUGAAAGAGACUCAUGGGUCCUCAGAAGGAGGCAUAUGGCUGCUCUCGGGAUCUUGACUUUUGAAAUAUUUGUUUAAAGCAAACACUUGCAAUGGCUGUGGAAAGCCUCCCGUUUCCUCUGGACCCUCAGCCUCUCCCUCGCAGGGCAGGGCACCGGGUUCUCUCCCUCGGGGACAAUGAGGCGGGAGAGGCUUUUGUUUAUUCUUCAGGAGUCUCUGAGAGUUCACAAUCAUGUUAAAAAUUAACCUGGGGCCAGGCGCGGUGGCUCAUGCCUGUAAUCCCAGCACUCUGGGAGGCCAAGGCACAGGCGGGUCACCUGAGGUCAGGAGUUCAAGACCAGCUUGGCCAACAUGGAGAAACCCCAUCUCUACUAAAAAUACAAAAAUGAGUCGGGUGUAGUGAUGGGUGCCUGCAGUCCCAGCUACUCAGGAGGCUGAGGCAGGAGAAUCACUUGAGCCCGGGAGGCGGAGGUUGCAGUGAACCGAGGUCAUGCCACCGUACUCCAGCCUGGGUGACAGAGUGAGACUCUGUCUCAAA